GAUGAACGCUAGCUACAGGCUUAACACAUGCAAGUCGAGGGGUAACGAGAGGAAAGCUUGCUUUCCUUGUCGACGACCGGCGCACGGGUGAGUAACGCGUAUCCAACCUGCCCCCAACUAGGGAAUAACCUUGCGAAAGUAAGACUAAUACCCUAUAAUUUCCUCAGAUGUCAUCUGACGAGGAAUAAAGAUUUAUCGGUUGUGGAUGGGGAUGCGUCUGAUUAGCUUGUUGGCGGGGUAACGGCCCACCAAGGCAACGAUCAGUAGGGGUUCUGAGAGGAAGGUCCCCCACAUUGGAACUGAGACACGGUCCAAACUCCUACGGGAGGCAGCAGUGAGGAAUAUUGGUCAAUGGGCGGAAGCCUGAACCAGCCAAGUAGCGUGCAGGAUGACGGCCCUAUGGGUUGUAAACUGCUUUUAUACAGGAAUAAAGUUAGCCACGUGUGGUUAUUUGUAGGUACUGUAUGAAGAAGCACCGGCUAACUCCGUGCCAGCCGCCGCCGUAA
rnacentral:rRNA from 1 species